UUGUUUCCCCACACUCUAUUUUUCUCCAACGCACCUGCACAACCUCUACUAACCACCGAUCGACCACCACCAAUCCUGUCGAAUUUUCCCACCACCAACCACCGCUUCUGCUUUGUUAAUCAGUUCGAGUAUAUAUCAUUUUGCAGCCGAUGUUUAGGAUUUUUUUAAUCUUAUCGGAACAAAACAGCAAGCAUCGUCGUCAACCUUAGUAGCUGAUAUAGGUGUGGAGUUUUUCUUAAAGUUAAACAAAUUAUAUGCCGCCCUACCUACCUGAAAGGUGGAAUUAUUGUCUAUUAGCUCAUUUUUAGUGUGUUGUUGCAUACAAGGUUUCAUUUCUUUCUAUGUUAUGUUUUGUAUCUAAAUUCGCUAAUCGGUGUUCUGAUGUUUGAAAUCAAUAUUUGCGUUUGGUGCUCCGUGACUGGCGACCACACUUUUAAUCAGGUAUUCCGACGGCCCUUGAUUUUUGUUCCGGCUACUGUUACGUUUGACCGGAUAACACUAAUUUACCACUCCCACUUCAUGGCGAGAAUUUGGAUGACAAGAGCUGCAAGAGUUCGAUCUUCAGUUUGGAGAGUUAGCAGUAAACGCCCAGGUCAUCUCUCUCUCUCUCUAUAUAUGUGUGUGUGUGUAUGUGGGUCUGGUUUUCGUUUCUUAUCUUUUUUUGUGAGCGUAGCGCGUAAAGGGUUGAUUUAGUGUUCACUGCUCAUCCAAUGAAGAAACUCUUAAGAGGCUUGUGAAUAAGCUUAAAAAAUCACCUCAAGAGGUUUUUGAUUCAUUGAAAAAUCAAAUAGUUGAUUUAGUGUUCACUGCUCAUCCAACUCAGGCUAUUAGGAGAUCUUUGCUUCAAAAACAUGGAAGACAAGAAACUACUAAGGGGAAGGGCGACUACAUGGGCAUGCAUUAGCGGCAGAAGAUUUCGUGAAUUAUUGAAUAAAACCGGAAGCUUUAUGAACUCCUUUAAGUUUUUUUUUUUCUGUAAUGUAUGUUUUUAGACUUGGUAUACAUGUUUGUUCUUAAACACAUUCCGCAAACAAAGUUUCCUGUGCUAUGCACGCCUUAAAUUUUGUGUGGUCGGCUUAUGGUACAAGCUCUUAUGACGUUUUGUAUGGCUUCUCUUACAUUGACUUUUGGCUAAUUACCUUUUAUCCAUGCAUAAACAUUUUUCCCGAACGCACCACAAAAUGAAGGACACUAA